AUUGAACGCUGGCGGCAUGCUUUACACAUGCAAGUCGAACGGUAACAGGCCGCAAGGUGCUGACGAGUGGCGAACGGGUGAGUAAUGCAUCGGAACGUGCCCAGUCGUGGGGGAUAACGCAGCGAAAGCUGUGCUAAUACCGCAUACGAUCUAUGGAUGAAAGCGGGGGACCGUAAGGCCUCGCGCGAUUGGAGCGGCCGAUGUCAGAUUAGGUAGUUGGUGGGGUAAAGGCCUACCAAGCCGACGAUCUGUAGCUGGUCUGAGAGGACGACCAGCCACACUGGGACUGAGACACGGCCCAGACUCCUACGGGAGGCAGCAGUGGGGAAUUUUGGACAAUGGGCGCAAGCCUGAUCCAGCAAUGCCGCGUGCAGGAAGAAGGCCUUCGGGUUGUAAACUGCUUUUGUUCGGAACGAAACGGCCUGGGUUAAUACCCUGGGCUAAUGACGGUACCGUAAGAAUAAGCACCGGCUAACUACGUGCCAGCAGCCGCGGUAACAC
rnacentral:rRNA from 1 species